UUCAUUCCAGGUAUCCUGAAGGCCAGGCAAACACCAAUGCACACAAUCUGCAUAGCUAACAGGAUUAGCAAUUUGUUCAGGAGUCAAUGGACUCCAUUGCUUCUUGUAUAUCGAGGUAUGCGCAUCUUUGCGGUAAUUUGAGAGUAGUGUGAUGUUGAGAAAUGUGAUGGGGAAUCUUGAUCUGCUAAAUUCAUCUCCGAUUACUUCCAUUAUGCUUCUCUUGCAAUCCGAUCCCCAGUAUGUGGCAUUGUCAACUAGAGUUGUUUCGUUGUAACAGCUGUGACCCGGUUCGCCUCCCCAGUCUAUGCUCCUGCCCAAGAACUUCAAAUGUUAGUCCCCUGUCUAGAUAAGCUAAACCAGUGUACUUUUCUAUGAUGUCAUAUUCUCUCAUCUUUGUUGGUUUGUCUAACAGAAUCAAUUUGGUGCAUAACACAACAAAAUCAGACAAUGGAAGAGAGACAGUCUGCUCACUUUUGAUGAGUAGGUGACAUGCUGGUGAAAAAGACCCUUGUUUUCUUGCGGUUCAUAUUCUUUC
rnacentral:lncRNA from 1 species